ACAACAACAUUUGAAGCGUCGGUCUACCGAGCAAUAUCACCCGUUCGGUGGAUGAUCUUCCCUUUGUCGUGAGAU
rnacentral:pre_miRNA from 1 species